UGGGGAAUAUUGCACAAUGGGGGAAACCCUGAUGCAGCGACGCCGCGUGGAGGAAGAAGGUCUUCGGAUUGUAAACUCCUGUUAUUGAGGAAGAUAAUGACGGUACUCAACAAGGAAGUGACGGCUAACUACGUGCCAGCAGCCGCGGUAAAACGUAGGUCACAAGCGUUGUCCGGAAUUACUGGGUGUAAAGGGAGCGUAGACGGAACGGCAAGUUUGAAGUGAAAUACCUGGGCUUAACCCGGGAACUGCUUUGAAAACUGUCGAUCUAGAGUGUCGGAGAGGUAAGUGGAAUUCCUGGUGUAGUAGUGAAAUGCGUAGAUAUCAGGAAGAACACCGGAGGCGAAGGCGGCUUACUGGACGAUAACUGACGUUGAGGCUCGAAAGCGUGGGGAGCAAACAGGAUUAGAUACCC
rnacentral:rRNA from 1 species